AAAACUGAAAUUCGGGCUAAAAUGGGGAAAAUACCAAGUUGUGGACGAAAUGGUAAAAAUAGCCAUUUUCGCAUACGAGUGUUGACAAGCCAGCUCGGAAAUCGGAAACGGUCGGAGGCACGCUCACACUAUCCGUAUACCAUCUUGGCAUAAUGGCUUGUAUAUUUUGAGUAUGGCAUGUAUAGCAUUAUAAUCAUUUUAUAUGUAUGGUCUUAUGAUAUGGUUAUUGAGUGGUAUGGAAAUAGAAAUGCUUGGUAAUGAUUAGCCAUUGGAAUGGCUAAUCAUGAUCAUAUUUGGUAUUAUGUAUGUCAAAUUGCUAGCUAAUCCAUGGAAACCAUGAAAUAGGUAAAAUUUACCAUAAAA